rnacentral:lncRNA from 1 species
AGAUGAGACCCAAGUCCAGGGUGCAGCCUGGAAGUCUGAUUCCAGAGGAACAAAGAGACAAAUACCAACGUGGAUUCUGGCAGAGGGGAACAAUGCAGGUGCCCAGUGAGUAAAACUGGGGCACAAGAGGAAGGUUUAAUUACCGGAAAAAGAUAGCAGGUACUGAAUGUGGGGCAGAAAGUGAGGGAGGAUGGGAAACAAUUGCCUCUCUUGCUAAGACCCAGCACAGAGUCCUGCACGUGGGAGGAAAUCAAUAAAGAUUGGCUGUUUCGUUAAUUAACUCAGCAGCUUAUUUAGCUCAGCCAGGUCUGUUGAGUCUUUAAAGAAACUGGAUCAGUGUUAAGGCAGGGCUGCAGCCCUCCUGCAUCAGAAUCACCCGGUGGGGGUGGGGGAUUGGGGCUUGUUGAAAAUACAGAUACCAGGGCUCUGAAAGAGACUUAAUCCUAACCUCCUGGGCCUGGGGCCCAGGAAUCUGUAUACCACUGGGCUACAUGGCUGUACCUGUGGGUCGCCUUGUUCUGUUGGAGAAACUUGUUAUUGUAUUGGGUACUGUUUGCCUUAAAUUUCAGGUUAAAAUUAAUUUUUCCCCCAAUUGAGCAAAAUAGAGGCAGUGACAGUAUUCAUAUGAAUGUAUCUGGUGUGAUUCGUCCCAUUUUUCAGGUGGAGUUUAUCUCAUUCCCUGUCUCCACACUGGACCGGUUUGCCCAGAUCUGUUUUUACCUACAGGGCCAGCUGCAGGGCUGGGCAGUCCCAGUUUCUGGUGCAAUCCCAAUGGCAGGAAUCUCGGCCCUACCCUCUACCCACUGUGCUGAUAAUUAGGUCAUCCUUUCCAGACUUGACAUCCCAGGCCCAACCAUCCCUGCUCCUAAUUGUUCCCUGAAGGUGCCCCAGAGCUGGAGUACCACGGUGAGCCCUGGGGGUCCACAAUACCUCUAGAUCCCAGCAUCUCACCUGCCCCCACCAUACUGACCUAACACACAGGAGUGGGUGACUGCCUUCACUUCCCUCAUUCGAGUCUUUCCCUAAUUCAGAAACAAACAUGUACUGAGCACCCACUGUAUAUGUGCCAGGCACUGGGUUACCAAAGUGAGAGAGGAUUUGAAUUCCUGGGGGUCUCCAUUUCUCCACAAGAGUAUUGGUUUGGUUUGGUUUGGUUUUUCCAUUUUGAUGGUAAUCUUUUUUUUUUUUUUUGAGAUGGAGUCUCGCUCUGUUGCCCAGGCUGGAGUGCAGUGGCGCGAUCUUGGCUCACUGCAAGCUCCGCCUCCCGGGUUCACACCGUUCUCCUGCCUCAGCCUCCCGAGUAGCUGGGACUGCAUGCACCCACCACCACACCUGGCUAAUUUUUUGUAUUUUUAGUAGAGACGGGGUUUCACCAUGUUAGCCAGGAUGAUCUCGAUCUCCUGACCUCGUGAUCCACCUGCCUCGCCCUCCCUGAGUGCUGGGAUUACAGGCAUGAGCCACCGCGCCCAGCCUGAUGGUAAUCUUUUUUAAAAAAAAAAUUGAUAUUCUGCCAUAUAAUUUUUUUUUAAUUUUUGAGAUGGAGUCUCACUCUGUUGCCCAGGCUGGAGUGCAGUGGCACAAUCUUGGCUCACUGCAACCUCUGCCUCCCAGGUUCAAAUAAUUCUCCCUGCCUCAGCCUCCCGAGUAGCUGGGAUUACACGUGCCCACCACCACACCUGGCUAAUUUUUUAUAUUUUUAGUAGAGAUGGGAUUUCACCAUGUUGGCCAAGCCUGUCUCAAACUCCUGACCUCAGGUGAUCUGCCUGCCUCGGCCUCCCAAAGUGCUAGGAUUACAGGCAUUAACCACCACACCCAGCCUCUGCCAUAUAAUUUACAGUCUGUAUUUAUAUUCAUAAACAUUCUCUUCAAGUGAAGGCCAAAUGAUAUCAUGUGGUGAUGAACCAUGAAUAAUCCAAAAUGAUUUAAAUAAAGUGCCCAACAUUUUGUUAUCCAAGCUCAAAGGAAACUUGUAGCAAUCAAAGCAACAUUCUCGUGUUCAUGGACCCCAUUUUGUACCUACCAUCUUCUAAAAGUUUGUUAUGAAUAUGGCAGUGAAUGAACAAUGAAAAAUCUUUCUGUUCCUCAUUCUAGCAAUUAUGCAAUUAGACACUUCUUAAAGGCAGAUUUCCAGCAUGUGGCAAUGCUAACUUUACUUUUGAGUGAACAAGACAGUUCCUCAGAGUGAGCAAGUGGCCUUUCAUUAAAAUCGGCAUUUCAGGAAUGCUCAGGGGCAGAGUUUUAAUUAACUAUGAGGUCGGAUUAUUCUGAGCUAGCAUACAAGGCAAAGCUAACAGGUAUUCUCUGCAUUAGCACUGAACCCAAAGGCCAAAGACAAUAACUAUACCAUUAGUUUCAGGACAAGAGCAUCAUCUGUCAUAUUAAACUAAUGUUGUUUUACUUAUAAAAUACUGGUUUUGCAGUGGUGUUUGGGCUUCAUUCAUACAUCAGCUUUGUUUUUAUAAUAAUAGCUAGUACUAAUUAGUGCUUGCCACAUGCCAGGCACUGUGCUAAACCUUUUUCAUGGAUUGACUCUUUAAUCCUCAAAACAAUCCUAUGAGAUAGAUACUAUUUCCUGCGUCUUACCAGUCAGUAAACUGAGGCACAGAGAAAUUAACUUACCUGAGGUUACACACCAUGUAAGUGACAGGUCUAGGAUUUAAACCCAAGUGGGUCUUGCUCCAGAAAUUGUGUUCUUAAUGCAACACUAUACUGUUUAUCAUUAUAUCAUUUUAUAUAUAUAUGAUUAUAUAUCACUUUAUAUAUUAAAUGAUUUCAUGAUUUCAUUUUAUAUUUUUUACAUAUUUUUUUACAUAUUUGAAUAGUUAUAAAAACUGCUUAAUCCAAUAUUUAGCUUGUAAAAAUUUCUUUUCUGAUUUAAGAAAAAGAAAGGUCUAUGUACUAUUCAAGUGAAAGAAAUGCUGUUUUAGUAGAAUUUCUGCUCAGAGUAACUGGGACCUGUUCUUUGUUUUGAUGUUGUUGUUUUGUUUUGUUUUGUUUUGUUUUGUUUUGUUUUUGUUUGUUUGUUUUUGAGACAGGGUCUCGCUCUUGUUGCCCAGGCUGGAAUGCAGUGGUGCAAUCACCGCUCACUGCAGCUUUGAUCUCAAGCAGUCCUUCCCACCUCAGCCUCCCGAGUAGCUGGGACUACAGGUGCGCACCACCAAGCCCUGCUAAUUUUUGUAUUUUUUGUAGAAAUGGGGUUUCGCCAUGGUGGCCAGGCUGGUCUCAAACUCCUGGUCUCAAGCAAUCCACCCACCUUGGCAUCCCAAAUUGCUGGGAUUUCAGGCAUAAACCACCAUGCCCGGCUGGGACCCAUUCUAAAUCCCAGUGGUGACAUGAAGUAGGAAGUGGCUCCAAUGCCUGGCUUAGCUCUGUAAGCCUUUCUGAUCCUCUCCUCACAGCCCAGCAUGCCCUCCUCACUAGGGAAGGCCUACUGGGUAAGAACUGAGACUCCUGAACUCAUCUCCACUUGUCAAGCCCCUGAGCAUUCCCAAUGCCUAGUUUUCCUGUGAAGUGUUCUGCUGUUAGGUCAGCUCUCCUGCUAGGAAUGCAAGCUGGAGUUGCAGCUGACAUUGCCAUCUUUGAACCCAAAGUAUUCCUCAUCCUACCCCACUCCGACCUCCAGCCUUCUGCAGGGCAGCUCCAGACGCUGGAAGUCCAAGAUGAGGGUGCCAGCAUGAUCAGGUUCUGGCAAAGACCCUCUUCUGGGUUGAGAAUCCAGGUUAAUUCUCGAGUCUUCACAUGGCAGAAAAGAGCAAGAGAGAUCUCUGGGGUCCCUUUGGAACAGCACUAAUCCCAUUCAAGACGGCUCCAUCUAUCACCUGAGUAUAGGAGUUCGAGACCCGCCUGGAUAACAUGGCGAAACCCCGUCUCUACUAAAAAUAUAAAAAUUAGCCAGAUGUGGUGGUGCACGCCUGUAAUCCCAGCUACUGGGGAGGCUGAGGCAGGAAAAUCACUUAAACCUGGGAGGUGGAGGUUGCAGUGAGCCGAGAUCACGCCACUGCACUCCAGCCUGCGUGACAGGAACGAGACUCCGUCUCAAAAAAACAAACAAAAAAAGAGGUCUCCACCUUAACAACUUAAUAACCUCCCAAAGCCCCCACCCUAACACCAUCACACUGUGGGUUAGUCUUUCAACAUACAAAUUUGAGAAGGACGCAUUCAGUUCAUUGCAGUCUCAUCACUGUGCUACUUGACGUAACAGGAAUUAAUGAUGCUUUGUUGGACCUGAAUUAUUUUUCCAAUCUGAUGUCAUUCCACUCAUGAUCAAAUUCCCUGAAGAGUCUGACUGGCUUGCCAUGGGUCUCAGAUCUCACCUACCCAAGGCUCCUUGAUUGACAGUUCCCUCAAGACUGCAGGCAGUGGAGUCAGGGUAGUUCCCCGAAAGGAAAAGCUGGCUGCUGUUUUCCAAUGGCAGGGAAAGGGAUGUUGGUCAGACCAAAACAGAUGUCCACCACAAUUACCAAAACUCGUCUGAGUCUGGCCAUUGCUCAAAAGCAUCAUGGGACAAAUAGACAAAUGAAAAAUGCCCAGAUGUUAAGUGGAAACUUGCCUCUCUUCAGUCACGAAAUUGUCUUAUAUGGACCUUGAAGACGGCUCAUGAAAUGUGAAGACUUUUGUAAAAUGUGGGCAUAGCCUCAAAGCUGCCAUGGGGGAAGCCAGGCACUCUGGAAGGGAAGGUAGGAAAGAGAAGACACUGAGGAGCAUGACUGGGUGCUGCGCUCAGCCAGCCUCUCACCCCCACCCACUCCGUGAGGACCACUUGGAGCACUGGUUGAAACCCCGGCAGAGCUUGGUGACGGCAUUUCUGCCACAUACUGACACCAUAACUAACUAAAGAAUGUCCUUGGGCUAGAAUUGAGAAGGCCUUAGAGAUGCCCGGAAACAGCCUGCUGCUUGGACAAAUGAGAAACCUGAUGGUCAAAACCCCAAAUCACAAUUUAUCCCUGGGCACCUGGUGGAUUCUUCCAUUUCCUGGAGACCGGUAAAUUGAUUUCAGGGGUAUAAUUCAUGUGCACUUGAGUGGUUUCAACUCCUUAUCUAAUGAUUUUAAGUUUUUGUUUAAAUAUUUUUUUCCAGAAUGAAAUAAAAAAUACCUCUUCUCUCUCUAACACACACACACACACACACACACACACACAAAGGGUCUUCAAAAAGUUCAUAGAGGCCAGGCACGGUGGUGCACGUCCGUAAUCCCAGCAGUUUGGGAGGUCAAGGCAGGAGGAUCGCUUGAGCCCAGAAGUUUGAGACUAGUCUGGGCAACAUAGGGAGGGCCUGUCUCUACAAAAACAUAAAACUUAGCCUGGCAUGGUGGUAUGUUCCUGUAGUCUCAGCUACUUGGGAAGCUGAGGCCGGGGGAUCCCUUGAACCAAGGAGCUUGAGGCUACAGUGAACUAUGAUCAUGCCACUGCACUGUAGCCUGGAUGACAGAGCAAGAUCCUGUCUACCCCCCGCAAAAAGUUCAUGGAAAAUACAUAUUAUGAAAAAACUAUGCAUAGAUUUCAAAAGUAAACUGGACUAACGUUAUGUGUCUGAGCAGGAUCUAGUUUAAGGCACUAAAAUGAUAAGACAUAAGUUUGAAAAGAGCCUCUGUCAGAGCAACAUGAAUUCUGCUAAAACUGAAGCAAGGACAAAUAUCAAAUUUAUGGUGAAGCUUGGGUGGAAAAAUGGUGAGAUCAAUGAUGCUUUACAAAAAGUUUAUGGAAAUAAUGCCUCCAAAGAAAUCAGCAGUUUGCAAAUAGAUAACUUAGUUUUUUUGUUUGUCUGUUUGUUUUUCAAUUUGUAGAGAGGGGGGUCUCGCUAUGUUGGCCAGGCUGGUCUCCAACCCCUGGGCUCAAGCAAUCCUCCUGCCUCAGCCUCCCAAAGUGCUGAGAUUACAAACACAAGCCACCACACCCAGCCUUGUUUUAAGAAGGGAUGAGAUGAUGUUGAAGAUGUAGCCCGCAGCAGCAGACCAUCCAUCUCAAUUUGGAAAAAAAAAAAAAAUUCAUCUUGCUUGUGCCUAUUUAAAGAGGACUGACAAUUAACUGCAGAAACAAUAAUCAACACUAUAGACAUCUCAACUGGUUCUCAACUAGAAAAUUCUAAACGAAAACUUAAAGUUGAGCAAACUUUCCAUUCAAUGGAUGCCAAAACCAUUGCACCCAGAUCAGCUGCAGACAAGAGCAGAGCUUUCAACAGAAAUUUAAACAAGUGGGACCAAGAUCCUGAAGAAUUUCUUUGAAGAAUUGUAAUAGGAGAUGAAACAUGGCUUUACCAGUAUGAUCUUGAAGACAAAGUACGAUCAAAGCAAUGACUACCAAGAGAUAAAAGUCCAGUCUAAGCAAAAGCAGACCAUUCAAGAGCAGAGGUCAUGGCAACAGUUUUUUGGGAUGCUCAAGGCAUUUUGCUUGUUGACUUUCUGGAGGGCCAAAGAAUGAUAACAUCUGCUUAUUAUGAGAGUAUUUUGAGAAAGUUAGCCAAAGCUUCCACAGAAAAACACCCAGAAAAGUGUCAUCAGAGAGUCCUUCUCCACCAAAACAGUGCUCCUGCUUAUUCCUCCCAUCAAACAAGGGCAAUUUUUCUAGAGUUUCAAUGGGAAAUCAUUAGGCAUCCAUCUUACAGUCCUGAUUUGGCUCCUUCUGACCUUCUUAAUUUUCUAAUCUUAAGAAAAAAUUUAGGCCAGGUGUGGUGGCUCAUGCUGUAAUCCCAGCACUUUGGGAGACCAAGGCAGGUGGAUUGCUUGAGUCCAGGAGUUCGAGACUAGCUUGGGCAAUGUGGUGAAACCCCAACUCUACAAAAAAUACCAAAAACAUUAGCUGGGUGUGGUGUUGGGAGCCUAUAGUCCCAGCUAUUCAGGAGACUGAAGUGGGAGGAUCACCUGAGCCCGGGGGGCAGAGGUUGCAGUGAGCAGAGAUCAUGCCACAGCACUCCAGCCUGGGUGACAGAGUGAGACCCUGUCUCAAAAAAUAAUAAAUAAAUAAAAAUUUAAAGGGCAUCCAUUUUUCUUCAGUUGAUAAUGUAAAAAAAAAAAACAAACAAAAAAAACAGCAUUGAAAUGGUUAAAUUCCCAGGACCCUCAGUUCUUUAGAAAUGGACUAAAUGGCUGGUGUCAUCACUUACAAAGAUGUCUUGAAUUUGAUGGAGUUUACGUUGAGAAAUAAAGUUUAUAAAGUUUAUAUUUUUCAUCUUUUAAUACCACUUUUCUACGAACUUUUUUUUUUUUUUUUUGGAGACAGAGUCAGCUCUGUCUCCCAGGCUGGAGUGCAGUGGUACAAUCUUGGGUCACUGCAACCUCCAUCUCCUGGGUUCAAGCCAUUCUCGUGCCUCAGCCUCCCAAAUAGCUGGGACUAUACAGGCACAUACCACCAUGCCUGGCUAAUUUUUGUAUUUUUAGUGUAGACAGGGUUUCUCUAUGUUGGUCAGGCUGGUCUCGAACUCCUGACCUCAUGUGAUCUGCCCACCUCGGCCUCCCAAAGUGCUGGGAUUACAGGCAUGAGCCACCGAGCCCCUGCCUAACUGGUUUAAUUUUAUAAUCCCUUUCUCCCGAGGGAAAAAAAAAAAGAAAAUUCAGAUUUUUCAAAUUUCAGACAAGUGCUCUUUACUGCUUUUACUGAGAUUUUUCCUUGCCAAUCAUUUCCUGGAAUUUCUCCAUUGAUGCCUUUCAUUGCUAGUCUCAGCUUUUUGCUGAAGGUUGAUUAUGUGACUAAAAGUUGGUUGCAAAAAAUGUCCCUACAUAUCACAUUUUCCCAAAGUUCUGCUCUUUUUCCAAUUCAACCUUCAUGGUUUUACUUUUCCCUGCAAUAUAAGUAAUCUCUCAGCUGCUAAUUCACAAAACCUCAGAGUUGGUGACUUCUCUCCCCAUCUAGUCAUUCUCUGAACUGACCAAAGUAGGAAGGUUUCAAGUGUCAUCUUAUGAAGACCCACUUUUCCCAAAGGACACUGUACAGGUGAGACAAGAGGAUGUAUUCUAGUCGAGGCAAGGCUUCUGCAGCAGUCAGCAAAGCAGCAGAGUGGUUUAGCACUAGCCAAACGGAUGAUAGUGCUAUAUCUACCUACGUAGACAAAGUCACACCUGGAAAGAGGCAGAAAUAGAAUAACCCCUGGGCAUUAUUUAUUUUAGAAUAGGAAGAAAGAAAUUGAGGAAGACUGGGCCUUACCUGAUAUGCCUGGCAAUUAAUGAGCAGAGAGCAGUGCUGGUUACCAUAUUAGCUGAGAGAUAAAAUGUGUAAGGGAAUGAAAGGAGGCAAAUCUACUCCCAACAAUGGUCACCAAUCAGAUUUCCCAGAGUCCAAGCUCUCUGGACAUUCAAGGAGAAUUUUCUAAAGCUUUCCCUAAGUUGCUAAACCAUUGUCCCCCAAUAACAAAUAAUUUAUAUCAACCUAGAGAAUAAUUGGGCCUUGUAUCAAGACACGGUGAGGCAGAGCACUUGUAAAUGAUGAAUGAGCAGCAGGGCCAGUCACGCUGAUAUAAACUCAAACCAUGGUGGCCACCGUCCAUUAGGAAGUUCCAAGUGGAAUCCAUCCAUAAUGGGAUUUUAUACUCAUAGUUGUGCCCAACCUUGCCACGGCAGAAUCCCCAUUUGUGUGCCCAGAAGUGCAAUCAAAGAGUCAUUUCUGCACUAUGAUUCUGUCUUGAUUUUCUUAGCUAUGCGUGACCUUGAGCCUGGGCACUUCCCUUCUUCAUAUCAGGACAUUAAAGGGAAACAAGAAAACAUAUUUUCUUUUUUCAUAUUAGGAUCUCACAAUUUUUACUGCUUCCUUUUUAACUUUUUAAUACAAUACAUUCAUGUAAUGCCAAAAUUAAGAUAAUGUUUGGGAAAAACCCAAAUACCCAAUUUACCAAAUCACUCUAAAAGCUGGCUGAUCAAUAUGUCCCCCUUUUGUUUCUGCAAAAUUAGAUUCAUGAUGUAUAUGUGAUCUGUUCAUCUGCUGCUUUCAUUUAUGAUUAUGGCAGGUAUUUUCUCCUAUAAGUUUCAUAAUCACAAUUUUUUACAAAGGGUAUAUCAGCGUAUUGUUGGCCCUAAUUUAGUAAAUCAUUUCCCUAUUGUUCAUCCAGGCUGAAAGAGUCUUUAUCAGCACAAGACCAAAGAAGCUUCCAUUUGCUAUUAAGUUUUGAGUUGGGAACUCUAUUCGGAGAACAAUUGCUCUGAAAGCUCUACGUGACUCCUUCGGAUGCAAGAGUGAGGCCAGCUCAGCUGGGAUAAGCUCCUACUACAGAAAAGUAGGGGGAAAAUUUCAGAAUCUGGUGGUUCAUCAUAGAGCCAGCACUAGCAUGAAAGGAUGAGGCUGCCACCUCAGGGACAAAAUGAAAAACAAAACAAGAAAGCCACAUCAAAGAACGAAAAUUUUACCCAUAAUUAGUUGUGUUGAAUAUUGCUUGUUUUUCCCCUUUUGGUUACUGGUGUACAAACUUUUAACAUGAACAACAACAAAAAAAAACUUUAAUCAUUACUUUUUUUUUUUUUUUUUUGAGGCAGGGUCUCAUUCAGUCACCAAAUCUGAUCGCAGCUCACUGCGGCCUCAACCUCCCAGACUCAUGUGAUCUUCCUACCUCAGCCUCCUGAGUAGCUGGUAUUACAGGCUCACACCACCAUGCCCAGCUAAUCUUUGUAUUUUGGGUGGAGAUCAGGUUUUGCCAUGUUGCCCGGGCUAGUCUCGAACUCCUGGGCUCAAGCAAUCUUCUUGCCUCGGCCUCCCAAAGUGCUGGGAUUAUGGGUGUGAGCCACCGCACCCACAUAAUGAUUAUGUUACUUUUUUUGCUGUUCUUUUUUUCAUUGGCAAAAGGAAUAAAUGCACAAGAUUUUUUUAAAUCCAGACACAGUAUAUUGUCUCAGAUCUUGACCUCUAUCCUUCUGGAAUUUUUCUUUGUAUAUAUAUGUAUAUUUACAUGUGAUGUCCCUUUUUGUUUACACAAAUAAGAACACACACUGUAUUGCACUUGCCAUUUUUAUUUGACCUCAGGUCUCAGAUUGAUUCAUCUUGGCAUAGAUAAUCUACUUCAUUAUUUUUUGUAAGAGCUGCAUAGUUUUUCACUACAUGAAAGUGCUAUAACCAUUUCCCUAGUGUGAGAUAUUUUCAUAGUUUCUAGGGUUUUUCAUAUUAAAAAUAAUGUUGUAACCAUAACAUUUUUUGACAGAUUCAAGGCAAUCGAAAGUCCUAGAUUUCCUGAACAGUCUUAAAUUAAUGUCAUAAAUGAUUUUUAAUAGAAUAAUUUAUAUAGAUUCCAAAAAGGCAUUUGAUAAC